rnacentral:rRNA from 1 species
AGCGCAGGCGGGAAGGUAAGUCUAUCUUAAAAGUGCGGGGCUCAACCCCGUGAUGGGAAAGAAACUAUAUGCCUUGAGUGCAGGAGAGGAAAGCGGAAUUCCUAGUGUAGCGGUGAAAUGCGUAGAUAUUAGGAGGAACACCAGUGGCGAAGGCGGCUUUCUGGACUGUAACUGACACUGAGGCUCGAAAGCCAGGGGAGCGAACA